GCCGGGGUAGCUCAGCAGGUAGGGAAGCGGGCGGCAGCCGACCGAGCGGUCAGAGGUUCGAGCCCUCUCCCCGGCGCCA
rnacentral:tRNA from 1 species